CUGUGUCACAGGUGUCCAUAUUUUGGUAGAUUCAUAUUCAAUGAUUUAUUGGUGUCUCACCACAAACAAAUUAUAAUAAGAAUCACAAAAGCACAUACAAAAUUUAUAACUUUCGUCUGCGUGCACCAACCUAAAAUAAAUAUUUAAGCAUAUUUUAAAGAAGUAUAUGUAGUGCAUACACAUCAACAACUACUUUCUCUCUUGAAUAAAAUGGCGAAAACCCAAGUUUUUGUUAUAUCACCGAAGUUGAACAACUUUGUGCUCGGUUACUAUUUGACAAGGAUUGACCAACAAUACACAAAUAUUGUUAUGGCUUCGUCUUCUUCCGGCUUGUGGAAAUUUGCAGCAAUGUCAAUUAAUACUUGGAAGUCACGUGUAGGAAGGAUUUGGACUUUCGAAUAUUUUAGCCUCCAGCAUCAAAGACGAUACAUAAAUUGUUGAAUUGCGCAUCUGGUGCAGUAAAAUAUGUAAUUUAGUGUUAUUCCACAAGUUUACUCUUAAC
rnacentral:lncRNA from 1 species